CUGGUCCAGUUCUCCCCCGACACGGAGGGAUACCCGUGGAAGCGCUCCCGACCACCCGAGGUCGGGCAACCUUCCCCAGGUUGGAAGGGACACGAGCGGAUCCGAGCGAAGCGACCGCGCGUCCGCGCCCUCCGUCGCCACCACCAUCCGCUCCGCCGCCACUCCAUCGUCGUCCACAUUGCUGCCAUCCGCUCUGCCGCUGCUCCAUCGUCGUCCUUCCCCGAAGCAGUCGUGAGCGAGACUUUGCUGUCCUCCACUACCGUCUUCCGCGGCACUAUAGUGGAGGCAACACAUGAAACCAACAUGGAGAAGAAAAAUGAAAUGGCAUUCCACAUAAAGCUUGUGAAAAAGAGUUAA
rnacentral:misc_RNA from 1 species